rnacentral:rRNA from 1 species
GAUGAACGCUGGCGGCGUGCCUAAUACAUGCAAGUCGAGCGACCGGACGAGAAGCUUGCUUCUCUGAUGUUAGCGGCGGACGGGUGAGUAACACGUGGAUAACCUACCUAUAAGACUGGGAUAACUUCGGGAAACCGUAGCUAAUACCGGAUAAUAUUUUGAACCGCAUGGUUCAAAAGUGAAAGACGGUCUUGCUGUCACUUAUAGAUGGAUCCGCGCUGCAUUAGCUAGUUGGUAAGGUAACGGCUUACCAAGGCAACGAUGCAUAGCCGACCUGAGAGGGUGAUCGGCCACACUGGAACUGAGACACGGUCCAGACUCCUACGGGAGGCAGCAGUAGGGAAUCUUCCGCAAUGGGCGAAAGCCUGACGGAGCAACGCCGCGUGAGUGAUGAAGGUCUUCGGAUCGUAAAACUCUGUUAUUAGGGAAGAACAUAUGUGUAAGUAACUGUGCACAUCUUGACGGUACCUAAUCAGAAAGCCACGGCUAACUACGUG